rnacentral:rRNA from 1 species
GUAGGGAAUCUUGCGCAAUGGGCGAAAGCCUGACGCAGCCAUGCCGCGUGAAUGAUGAAGGUCUUAGGAUUGUAAAAUUCUUUCACCGGGGACGAUAAUGACGGUACCCGGAGAAGAAGCCCCGGCUAACUUCGUGCCAGCAGCCGCGGUAAUACGAAGGGGGCUAGCGUUGCUCGGAAUUACUGGGCGUAAAGGGAGCGUAGGCGGAUAGUUUAGUCAGAGGUGAAAGCCCAGGGCUCAACCUUGGAAUUGCCUUUGAUACUGGCUAUCUUGAGUAUGGAAGAGGUAUGUGGAACUCCGAGUGUAGAGGUGAAAUUCGUAGAUAUUCGGAAGACCACCAGUGGCGAAGGCGACAUACUGGUCCACUACUGACGCUGAGGCUCGAAAGCGUGGGGAGCAAACAGGAUUAGAAACCCCGGUAGUCC